CUCAUGGGAUUGCAUGGGCUCCUGACUCAUAGCGUGUGCUGAAGCACUUGGAGCAGAAAGGCAGUACAGGUCCUGCAGCUGCUUGGAGAGUCACAGUGUACACUCUGUGGGGAGCCUGAAGAUAUGAUGUGGCAAAUGUCCUUUCAAUUCCACAGCAUUUCAUAGUCAAGUCUGGCUCUCCAGAAAGAUACUGCUGUGCAGAAAGGAUAUGAGUAACAGUACUUCUGUAUGUCACUGUGAUCUGUGGAAACUUUAACAGCAUAGAAAGAAGACUCAACUUUCGUUAUGAAUAGUUCAGUCAAGACCUGUAAUUAAGAUGACAGUUAAACAAAAAAUAAAAUAUGAAUAUUUGUAAGGAUUGAGAUGGAGAGUACAAUGCAGUAUAUUAAAACACCACCUAUGCAUGUUAGAAGUACCCCAGCCUGAAAUACCAAGUUGAAUCUGUACUGCCCCUGCCACCAGGAAGGAGCAUAGCAAAGAGAGUAGGAGUCAGAUAUGUAGUAGACUCGAUAAAAAUAUGUGAGGAGCAGUCCUACACCAAUGAAUGUCAAGAUGGUUUGCUCUGUGUUAUUUAGAGAAGAUAAUAAUCAAAGAAAACAAAAUACACCUACUGCACAUUCUUGACAAAUGAUGCAUCCCAUUUUUUCCAUGGGACCAGGAAAACCAUACGUUCUAGUUUUUUAAUACAUCCUGAGUGAGUAAAUAUUCAAAAGCAGAACAAGUAUAAUGCAGAAGGGCAAAUGCAGUUGUGGAAUUUACUUCCAUGAUGUGACUUUUGUGAUUGACUUAAAUUAGUGCUGCAUGUUUCAGUGAAUAGUAAGAAUAUUCCUAUGGAUCUG